rnacentral:rRNA from 1 species
UACGUAGGGGCAAGCGUUGUCCGGAAUGAUUGGGCGUAAAGGGCGCGUAGGCGGCUAUGUAAGUCUGAAGUGAAAGUCCUGGCUUCAAGUUGGGAAUUGCUUUGGAUACUGUAUGGCUUGAGUGCAGGAGAGGUAAGUGGAAUUCCCAGUGUAGCGGUGAAAUGCGUAGAGAUUGGGAGGAACACCAGUGGCGAAGGCGACUUACUGGACUGUAACUGACGCUGAGGCGCGAAAGUGUGGGGAGCAAACAGGAUUAGAUACCCGGGUAGU